rnacentral:rRNA from 1 species
CCUACGGGUGGCUGCAGUGGGGAAUAUUGGACAAUGGGGGCAACCCUGAUGCAGCCAUGCCGCGUGUGUGAAGAAGGCCCUCGGGUUGUAAGGCACUUUCAGUGAGGAAGAACGCCUGGUGGUUAAUACCCAUCAGGAAAGACAUCACUCACAGAAGAAGCACCGGCUAACUCCGUGCCAGCAGCCGCGGUAAUACGGAGGGUGCGAGCGUUAAUCGGAAUUACUGGGCGUAAAGCGCGCGUAGGUGGCUUGAUAAGCCGGUUGUGAAAGCCCCGGGCUCAACCUGGGAACGGCAUCCGGAAAUGGCAAGCUAGAGUGCAGGAGAGGAAGGUAGAAUUCCCGGUGUAGCGGUGAAAUGCGUAGAGAUCGGGAGGAAUACCAGUGGCGAAGGCGGCCUUCUGGACUGACACUGACACUGAGGUGCGAAAGCGUGGGUAGCAAACAGGAUUAGAUACCCGUGUAGUC